GCAGGCUGAUCAGUCCUACUGGAUGUGUUAUGUGCAGGUGACUGGCUGUGGUGCAUCCCGAACCUUUAUCAUCUUUUGCUCUUGUUACAAACAUUUUGCUGGCGGCUGAGAACCUCGGCGGAGGCAGAGGAUACAGUGACAUUACGUGAGUGAGCGAGGAAAGAAUACCUCAUCACUUGUCCAGUACAACAGAACACGUGCCACUGCGCCCUGUCUACAUCUCGCUCCUUACCUCGGCGUGUCCCCAGUCUUCCAAUAAGGUGCGGGUGGGUGGUGUAGGCGAGGGGCCGCAGGUGUGCCGACACAACCAUCCAGCAGCUGGUGGCGUAUCCCUUACCUGGGGGAGAAGAUAGAC